rnacentral:rRNA from 1 species
UACAGGGGGGGUAAGCGUUGUUCGGAAUUACUGGGCGUAAAGGGUUCGUAGGUGGCUUGCUAAGUCUGACGUGAAAUCCCUCAGCUUAACUGGGGAACUGCGUCUGAUACUGGCGAGCUUGAGUGCAGGAGAGGAACGCGGAAUUCCAGGCGUAGCGGCGAAAUGCGUAGAUAUCUGGAGGAACACCGGUGGCGAAGGCGGCGUUCUGGACUGCAACUGACACUGAGGAACGAAAGCCAGGGGAGCAAACGGG